GGUGAACGCUAGCGGUGCGCCUAACACAUGCAAGUCGAACGCAUUACCCCAUGACCUUUGAAGAGCUUGCUCUGAUUUGUGAUUGGAUUUUGUAAUGAGUGGCGAACGGGUGAGUAACACGUUGGUAUCUGCCCCCAAGUCAGGGAUAGCCAUUGGAAACGAUGAUUAAUACCGGAUAGUCUCUUCGGAGUAAAGAUUUAUUGCUUGGGGAGGAACCUGCGGUCUAUCAGCUAGUUGGUGAGGUAAUAGCUCACCAAGGCUAUGACGGAUAACUGGUCUGAGAGGAUGAUCAGUCACAAUGAAACUGAGACACGGUUCAUACUCCUACGGGAGGCAGCAGUGAGGAAUCUUCCACAAUGGACGAAAGUCUGAUGGAGCGACACCGCGUGAAGGAUGAAGGUCUAACGAUUGUAAACUUCUUUUCUGAGGGAGCAUAAUGAGAGUACCUCAGGAAUAAGGGACGGCUAAUUACG
rnacentral:rRNA from 1 species